GGACACACUGUUAAGGGCUGGAAACUCAGGGUUUUGUAGGUGUGGGAUCUAGAAUCCCCAUCCAAUUCUUAUUCCUGCCCAGAGGCAAAAACAGAAGACAAGGCGGGUAGAGACAGCAAGUAACCCUAGGUUCUGCUCAGGAGCAAAGCUUCGGGCUAACCCAGCACCACUCUGGCUCUGGCCUCCACCAUACACCUACCUUCACUAUCCCACUGUUCUGCCUUCAAACGAUUCUCAUGUCAGGCAAAGGCUUAUACAGAAAUAGAAUCUUCUAUAGUUACAGUCCAGCAGCUUUCCCUUUGGGUGCACCUGAGACACCAGUGGAUGGGUUUUAGAGGCUGCAGAGUGAACACACAAACCAGUGCACUUCCUGACCAGCCACAGGCCUCCUUCAUACCUCGGGUCCAGCAGCUGAGAGAGGGGAGGGCAGGAGGCCAGGCCAGCUCCUGAGCACCAGCCUCAUUCCUACCCAGCACUCCUGACUGCUCACCAGCUUUUUGCAUGGGCAGGGGAGCAUCCUGCCUUCUCAAGCAAGACACUUACAGACAACUGUUAGGGAGCUCAUCCGGGAAGCUGAAAGGGAGAGAGGAGUCUGUGUGCAGGACAGCCCGCUCCUGAAUACUGCCACAGCCCGUUACCAUCUGCCAGCUGCCAUAGUCUGUGGAGAGAGAGGAUCUGGGCAGGGGAUGGUCCACUGAUCUGGGGCAGAGAGGAGAGAGAGGGGAGAGGAUGCAGUCAGUCAUAUGCCUGACACAGGAUCUGGAGGGGGCUGGGGGACUAGCGCAGCCCUGGCUGCUAGGUUCUGUUGUCAAUCACUGUCUCCAAAAGUCUAAAAAAAAAAGCUGGACAAGUAGUGACCGAGAAAAAAGAAUAGAUCACCAGCAGGUAACACCGGCCAAGAACCGCACUUACAGCAGCUGUCGGAUGGAUUAGGCAGCACAGACAGCAGCAGGGUGUGUGAUCCCAGGGGACAGAAGCAUCUCUCAGCAAGCAGCCAUCUUCUGCAGACUCUGGGAUUUUUCAAGAGUGAGCACACUGGCUACAAAGGAGUCUUCCUACGUGAGGCCUUUGUCAAAGGAAGGGCUACAAAGUGACCAUUCAGCUCCUGGGGUUGAGAGCAAAGGGCCAUGCUAAGCAGGAAGGUGUUCACAAAUACCACCAUGGAUUAGCUGGCUGCAGGGGACACCUACAGUGCGUCAUGUCACCGGGAGUAAGGACCUGUGCCCACAUACUGAGAAGGGAGGAAAAGCCUUCCAGUCAGUCUAAGAACACAGGACUGGAGAGAACAUGGGACCAAGCAACCCUCAAACUGGAUGGUGGCGGAGCUGACAACGCUUCAGAGGUCACCUGUCCACAUCCCAGCGGCUCAGACCUCUGCCUAGGAGGGUGGGAGCUCAGCAACAUUUCACUUCCUUAGUUGGAUGUGGCUCAGGGCCCUCUUCACAGCACCCAGAGCUGCAGUUCCUACCGGCUCCCAACUCCCCAGAUGCCCUGCUGAUGGCCAACUCAGAGCAGGUGUCUUUUAGCUAGUCCUUUCUGGAAGGGGGUACGAGAAUACUCACACAAACCGAGCUGGCUCAACCCAGGCAAGAAUACACAGGUCGGGAUGGGGGCCUGGCCUUUUACGCAGCUGCCUAGUGCCAUGACAGAGCCUACAGGCUCUCGG
rnacentral:lncRNA from 1 species